UACCCACUUAUGUGGAUAGACAUGCCACAACGCUUGUAUGGAGGUCAGAGGACAACCUGCAAGAGUCAGUUCUCUCCAUCUCUCCAUGAUAUGAGGCUGGAGUUGUUGACUUUGACAGCAAGCACUUGGACCCACCUAGCCUUAUCUCACUAGCCGAAGGGUGUUUAUAAGCCCUCAGUCUGUAACGUUUUACAAUUGCAGCCUGAAGGAACUAAGAAAACCCCAAUUUCGUCUCUCUCUCCCUACUCCCCAUUCACUUCUUGUGUAACAAGUUACCACAAAUUAGGUAGAUUAAAACAACAGUGUCACAGUCCUGGAGGUCAGAAGCCCCAAUUGUCAAGAAGCAGGAGGCUGUGGGCACCCAGCCAGGUCCCUGUGAUACGCAAUGUCCCUCCGCCUCCACAGGACCUGGCACAGCCCCUCCUGGUAGUUUCUGUCUAUCCUCCCUUUGGGCACCCACACCCACACUCAAUGGGUGAUCAGGUACAUAUCACCAAAGGAAGCUACACAUGGAAGUACUGCGCAAGAUGCAGAAGAACUUCAUCAUGUUAGGGUUAGGCUUUGACCCCUAUGCCAACAGAAACAGGCAAAGGGAUUGGAGCCAGGACUGAGGGCCUGGGUCUGAUCAAGAGAAUAGGCUUGCCCAGCAUGGCGGCUCACACCGGUAAUCCCAGCGUUAAUGGAUUGUUGUGAGUUUGAAGUCAGCAUGGACAACAUAGGAAGGUUCUGUCUUCAAACAGACAAGCAAACACCCCACCCGGCACAAGUUCACAAGUUCUGUGGUUCAAAUAUGCUGUGUGUCAUCUCUGCAAUCUUCAGUACAACAGUAUGAAGUGAUGAUAUAGAAAAGAGAAUAUGUCCUUACAUAUCUUGUGUGUGUACUCUGAAAUUAUAUCUCCCAAAUUACAUUUACCGUGUUGAUGGAUAUUGCUGGGAAGCAGCCAGCAUUGUCAAACUCCAGAGAUAACCAGGAGCCAGGAUGGCAGACUAUUCCACAGACAAAAAGCACAUGAAUUCUCCGUGCUGCCCUUUGUUGGUUUUGAUAAGCCAAGAAAGGAUUCAACGUUGCCUUCUGUGGUCUCUAGAAGUAAUUAACAAGCUAUCUCUAAGCAUUCUGUUUAUGCAAUGUGUGUUUUGACCUGCAUGUAUGCUUGUGUACCAUGUCCAGAAGAGUUCAUCAGAUCCCCUGGGAUUGGAGUUGGAGACAUUUGUGAGCCUCCGGGUGAGAGCUAGGAAUGGAAGCUAGAUCCUCUGGAAGGGCUGUGUCCUGAACUGGGCCAUCUCUCUAGUCCCUUUUAAAAUAAUUUUUAAAAGCUUCCUUCUUUCCACGUAAGCUUCUUCUUUUUGUCCCAAAUAAUGUUGGGAGCCUAGACUGUCAAGAUGGAAGAACUGUUAACUGUCUUGAAAAAUCUUUGUGAGAUAUAUUCACUUCAAAAGGUCAGUUAGUAAAGAGAAUUCUAUUCCAUUUGGCUCCAUUUAAAGACUCAAUACACUAUGCGCUAGCAGUUGUUAUUUCCAGAUGAUGACAUCACUGGUGGUUGCUGGCCUCAAACUGGCUGUUUAGCUGAGGAUGGCCUGUGAACUCCUGAUCCUCCUGCCUCUACCUCCCCACAUUAUAGGUAUGUACCACCAUACUGGCUUUCAACUUUACAUGUUUAAAAAUGUCUGCUCUUUGUGUUCUUUACAUAUUUGUAAGAAGAUGAAUUACUUCUGUAAUUAAAGGAACUUGUUUUAAGCAGAAA